rnacentral:misc_RNA from 1 species
UAAUUUUCAAACAUGAAAUAAUUAUAUUAAAAGAUAAAAAUUAUAAAUAAGUAUAAAAGAUAUUUAAAAAUUAGAGUAAAUGGAACAAAUUAAAGAAUGUUACAAAAUGUUUGUGUUGAUUGUUGUUACAACAUUUUGACAAAUUCCUGGAAAUCGAUUCUUCCAUCUCCAUUUUCAUCAAAGGCCAUGAUCAUCUUCUUGCAAUUAUCCAAUUCUGCAACACCCUUUAAUCCCAGAGCACACAGAACUCUCUGCAAAUCCCUUUCAUCAAUAAAUCCAUCUUUGUUCUCGUCAAACACAUCAAAAGCUUCUCUUACUUCUUGCUCUUUAGCUUCUAAUUCCUCUCCGAAAAGUUCAAAAAUGUCCAACCUCUCCUGAAUCUUCACACCUUCAGGAUUGGCAAAAAUACCUAAAUUAGCCAUAACCAUUUCCACCUCUUCCCUGUUUAAGCUUCCAUCAACUAAUUUCUCGCUCAGUUUUUUGGGAGUGUCGUGUUUUUCACACACUUGGGUUUCAGCAAAGGACAAAAAGGUAAAAAGUCUUCGUGCACAAUCAAAGAUUAUAUACAGAAAGAAGAAUCCCACCGCCCCAUGAAUUAGCAGGGGAACUGGAAUAGUAGUUACAGGGAAUUUCUUGAAUGGAAAUCGAUUCAAAUAAUUAGAAGCUGCCAUAUUAAAAUUAAAAUUCUUGAUUGAGAUGGAGAAGAAGAGAAAUAUCUCUUCGUUGUUGUAAAAGGCGGGUGAUACUGUUGCAUGCAGAAAAAAAACAGAGUUAAAG